rnacentral:rRNA from 1 species
CGAGGGUGCAAGCGUUGUUCGGAAUCACUGGGCGUAAAGCGCGCGCAGGCGGGACUUGCAAGUCGGGAGUGAAAUCUCGGGGCUCAACUCCGAGGCUGCUACCGAAACUGCGGACCUGGAGACCGGUAGAGGUGGUGGAAUUCCCGGUGUAGCGGUGGAAUGCGUAGAGAUCGGGAAGAACACCUGUGGCGAAGGCGGCCCACUGGGCCGGUUCUGACGCUGAGGCGCGAAAGCGUGGGGAGCAAACAGGAUUAGAUACCCUGGUAGUCCACGCCGUAAACGAUGGGCACUAGGUGCCGGGGGGGAACGACCCCUUCGGUGCCGCAGCUAACGCGUUAAGUGCCCCGCCUGGGGAGUACGGCCGCAAGGCUG